rnacentral:siRNA from 1 species
ACUACAAUAUCUAAUCUCACCGCC